rnacentral:lncRNA from 1 species
CUUUCUUCCAUGUGCACAUGCUGAUUUCUCAACCUGGAAUCCUUUCCCUACACCUUUCCUCAAAGGACUGUUAAUGAGUGUUCAGAGGUACUUCAUUGAAAUGUAACUACCACAAUGCAUCCCUUCCACGUGACUAACUUCGCUCAUGGACCAGAAUCACUGCGGCUCUGCCCUGGAGUGGUGCAAAGAGCUCGCAUUCUGUUUGGAAAGCAAAUUAUUUAAAUCCAGUAGAGGACUCUCAAAUGUGGUUGGAAAAUCUAAGAAGACUUCCCAGAGGCAGCAGCACUAG